rnacentral:rRNA from 1 species
UACGUAGGGUGCAAGCGUUGUCCGGAAUUAUUUGGGCGUAAAGAGCUCGUAGGCGGUUUGUCGCGUCUGCUGUGAAAACCUCAGGGCUUAACCCUGAGCCUGCAGUGGGUACGGGCAGACUAGAGUGUGGUAGGGGAGAUCGGAAUUCCUGGUGUAGCGGUGGAAUGCGCAGAUAUCAGGAGGAACACCGGUGGCGAAGGCGGAUCUCUGGGCCACUACUGACGCUGAGAAGCGAAAGCAUGGGGAGCGAACAGGA